rnacentral:lncRNA from 1 species
CCAUUUUUCAAAAAUUGCCCUCUGUUUGGACGGCCCCCUAUCAGGAUAAACAGGAGAAGUAACACCACGCUCUCCCCAAUGCUGCCUGGGGUAACCAGAGCCAUCUUUCAUUUUUCACAUCGUCUUCUGCUCACUUGGCAGAGAUUCACAAAUGGAGAAUUGUUUUUUUUUUUUUUAAAUGUUUUUUCUUAAGGAAUUUGAUGAAAAAUAUUAAUCAAUUUUAACUGUUUUUAUUAAACCAAUGGGCGGGGCAUUCUCCUUCUAGCAAAGAUUUAAGUUAAUGGUUUUCUAGAAUAUAGUUUUGAGAUUAAAAAUUUCCUUUAAACCCAUUGAAUUCACACAUGUGGAGUGAAAUUUAAGUAGUUCAGACAACUGUGUGAUGAGAGAUUGAUAUAUGUGGGUUGCAUCUGUUUGACACUUGCUUUCCUGUUCUAUGGUCUAUCCCAUAAGUACAGCAAAGCAGUGAAGACCCAAAGGAAGAGUGAAGUGAACUGUACGGCAACAGUGGCCUUAAUCUUCGGUGUGGAACAUAAAGAAAAGAUAUUACUCGAGUUGACAACGAAUUUGAAACAGCAAAGAAAUGGGUCAUCCAAACUGAAGCCGACAAUGUGGAGUCUUCCUGCGUGAAAGAAACCUCUGCUUUGUAAGCGGCCCCUUACUAUUAGUGACUGUCACUUAUUUGUUGUUUCCAACUAUUAUGGACUUGAUUUCCUUCAGAGUGGCUUUGAAAGACUCUAAGAACAAACUCAUCUUUUUAAAAUGCUUAUUUAUAGUUUUGCCCUCUCUUUUCAGUGUGAUGUAUGGGCAUUAAACUCUCAGAUUUCAUGAAAUGGAGUUGAAGCUGAGGAGAUAAAUUUCCAGUGUAAGAAGGGUAAAAAGUGUCCCUUUGCUAUUCUUUAAGAGGAAGAAGCAAUUACAAUUUUGUAGGUUUUGGAGAGCUUCCCCUCUUUUCCUUUUUCAUUCUGUCAUCAUUUUGCUUUAUCAGAAAACAAGUACCCGUCUGUUUUUUUUUUAUGAAAAGAAAAUGUUUCUUAAUUGUGUUUAUAUGCAAGUCAAUAAUUCCAAGCAAUAUGAUUAAUCUAAAGAAAUAAAUAAAUGACUUCAAGAAAGUACUUAUAAAGG